CGCGCCUCCAGGCAGAGGAGGGGCGGAAGGCGUGUCUGUGGCGCGCUCCCGGGGCGGGCUCGGCCUGGGUUACCCGCCGCUUCUGAGCUGGUAUCCGAGUUUGCAGGUAGCGCUGAAAAAUGUAAGGGGACAGCUCUAAGUGUGGCUAAAGAGAGGUACUACUGUACUCUGCAGCUAUUAGGAAAACAAGAAAGGUGACAUAACUGACCACAGCUUUGCAGUCCUCAAAACAUGUUUGUGUGUCAAACAGUUUUCCAAAAUGCAGCAUAAAAUAUGAGGUAAGUGGUAGAUGUGUGGAGGUUUCAUGGAAGAAGAGAAUGUGUGGGAAGAGACUGGAAAUGUAUUUGUGUGUAUGAUGUGAGUUUUGGGAGAUCUCUGAUGUUAUACCUGCUACUAGAGGACAGAAGAGUUACUUUUUUUUUUUUUGACAUAACUGAAGUUUUGAAAUUUAUCUAAUAUAUUUUUGUUUUUGUUAGAAAAUGGGUGGAGGAGCACUUUUCAUUUUACUAUCUGUCUAACUUCUUUCUGAUACUAGUAAAGUUAUUAAAGCGAAAAAUCAGAAAGACAAAUAUCUUCUAACAUUUACCAGAGAAAGGAAAUACAUAAAAUAAUUUAGAAGAUAACCAAAGGGAAGGGCCACAGAGAGUUGCUUUUUAAAUAAAUAAUGUUACUUUCCUACUGUAAGUCAUUAGCCAGCUGCUUUUAAUAAAGAUAGGUUGGAAAAUUGGCUUUGACUUUACCCUACCGCAGAUUUGGCCUUUUUCUUUGCUUCCUCAGAAGAGUGUUUCUCACCCAUACAUUCCCCACCCCAGCCACCACAUUUGGGGGUGAGGGAUAUUGUAGUAAGUCUGUUUAACUUUCAGAGUACAAGAUAGAUAUAUAGCUUUUUACAAUUGGAAAAGAAAAGUGAAAGCUCAG
rnacentral:lncRNA from 1 species